rnacentral:rRNA from 1 species
AGUGAACGCUGGCGGUAGGCCUAACACAUGCAAGUCGAACGGCAGCACAGUAAGAGCUUGCUCUUACGGGUGGCGAGUGGCGGACGGGUGAGGAAUACAUCGGAAUCUACUUUUUCGUGGGGGAUAACGUAGGGAAACUUACGCUAAUACCGCAUACGACCUACGGGUGAAAGCAGGGGAUCUUCGGACCUUGCGCGAAUGAAUGAGCCGAUGUCGGAUUAGCUAGUUGGCGGGGUAAAGGCCCACCAAGGCGACGAUCCGUAGCUGGUCUGAGAGGAUGAUCAGCCACACUGGAACUGAGACACGGUCCAGACUCCUACGGGAGGCAGCAGUGGGGAAUAUUGGACAAUGGGCGCAAGCCUGAUCCAGCCAUACCGCGUGGGUGAAGAAGGCCUUCGGGUUGUAAAGCCCUUUUGUUGGGAAAGAAAAGCAGCAGGUUAAUACCCCGCUGUUCUGACGGUACCCAAGGAAUAAGCACCGGCUAACUUCGUG